rnacentral:rRNA from 1 species
ACANGACUCUCGGCAACGGAUAUCUCGGCUCUCGCAUCGAUGAAGAACGUAGCGAAAUGCGAUACCUGGUGUGAAUUGCAGAAUCCCGCGAACCAUCGAGUCUUUGAACGCAAGUUGCGCCCGAGGCNAUUCGGCCGAGGGCACGCCUGCCUGGGCGUCACGC